rnacentral:rRNA from 1 species
GUCCACGCCGUAAACGAUGGGCGCUAGGUGUGGGAGGUGUCGACUCCUCCCGUGCCGAAGCUAACGCAUUAAGCGCCCCGCCUGGGGAGUACGGCCGCAAGGCUAAAACUCAAAGGAAUUGACGGGGGCCCGCACAAGCAGCGGAGCAUGUGGUUUAAUUGGAUGCGACGCCAAGAACCUUACCAAGGCUUGACAUGGUCGGGAAAGCUGGAGAAAUUCAGCCCUCCUUCGGGACUCGAUCACAGGUGGUGCAUGGCUGUCGU